rnacentral:rRNA from 1 species
CUGGAGGACCGAACCCGUGAAUGUUGAAAAAUUCUGGGAUGACUUGUGGAUAGGGGUGAAAGGCCAAUCAAACCUGGACAUAGCUGGUUCUCCGCGAAAACUAUUUAGGUAGUGCGUCAGACGAAUUCCUUGGGGGGUAGAGCACUGGAUGGAUGCGGGCGACGCGAGUUGUACCAAUUCUAACCAAACUCCGAAUACCCAAGAGAACUAUCUGGCAGACACACGGCGGGUGCUAACGUCCGUCGUGAAAAGGGAAACAACCCUAACCAUCAUCUAAGGCCCCCAAGUGACGGCUAAGUGGGAAACGAUGUGGGAUUGCUUUGACAACCAGGAUGUUGGCUUAGAAGCAGCCAUCAUUUAAAGAAAGCGUAACAGCUCACUGGUCAAGCGAUCCUGCGCGGAAAAUGUAACGGGGCUCAAGCCAGUCGCCGAAGGUAUGGGUGUGCACUUUGUGCACGCGGUAGCGGAGCGUUCCGUAAGCCUGCGAAGGUCAGCUGUGAGGCUGGCUGGAGGUAUCGGAAGUGAGAAUGCUGACAUGAGUAGCGACAAAGAGUGUGAGAGACACUCUCGCCGAAAGUCCAAGGGUUCCUGCGUAAAGCUAAUCUGCGCAGGGUUAGCCGGCCCCUAAGGCGAGGCCGAAAGGCGUAGUCGAUGGGAACCAGGUAAAUAUUCCUGGGCCAGUCAGAAGUGACGGAUCUCGUAACUUGUCUGAACUUACUGGAUUGUGAGGGCAGGGAAGAGGUCCCUGGAAAUAACUCUGACGGAGACCGUACCCGAAACCGACACAGGUGGACAGGUAGAGUAUACCAAGGCGCUUGAGAGAACUAUGCUGAAGGAACUCGGCAAAUUGCACGCGUAACUUCGGGAUAAGCGUGACUCUGCUUAGGGCAACCUUUGUAGAGUGGCACAGGCCAGGGGGUAGCGACUGUUUAGCAAAAACACAGGGCUCUGCGAAGCCGCAAGGCGACGUAUAGGGUCUGACGCCUGCCCGGUGCCGGAAGGUUAAAAGGAGGGGUGCAAGCUCCGAAUUGAAGCCCCGGUAAACGGCGGCCGUAACUAUAACGGUCCUAAGGUAGCGAAAUUCCUUGUCGGGUAAGUUCCGACCUGCACGAAUGGCGUAAC